rnacentral:rRNA from 1 species
UACAGAGGUCUCAAGCGUUGUUCGGAUUUACUGGGCGUAAAGGGCGCGUAGGCGGCGGACCAAGUCGAGUGUGAAAGCCCCGGGCUCAACCUGGGAGGUGCGCUCGAGACUGGUCUGCUUGAGUUCGGGAGAGGAGCGUGGAAUUCCCAGUGUAGAGGUGAAAUUCGUAGAUAUUGGGAAGAACACCGGUGGCGAAGGCGGCGCUCUGGACCGAGACUGACGCUGAGGCGCGAAAGCGUGGGGAGCAAACAGG